rnacentral:rRNA from 1 species
CAAAGGUGAGCCAGUACAGGAUGGACCCGCGUCUGAUUAGCUAGUUGGUAAGGUAACGGCUUACCAAGGCGACGAUCAGUAGCCGACCUGAGAGGGUGAUCGGCCACAUUGGAACUGAGACACGGUCCAAACUCCUACGGGAGGCAGCAGUGGGGAAUAUUGCACAAUGGGCGAAAGCCUGAUGCAGCAACGCCGCGUGAGUGAUGAAGGCCUUCGGGUCGUAAAACUCUGUCCUCAAGGAAGAUAAUGACGGUACUUGAGGAGGAAGCCCCGGCUAACUACGUGCCAGCAGCCGCGGUAAUACGUAGGGGGCUAGCGUUAUCCGGAUUUACUGGGCGUAAAGGGUGCGUAGGCGGUCUUUCAAGUCAGGAGUGAAAGGCUACGGCUCAACCGUAGUAAGCUCUUGAAACUGGGAGACUUGAGUGCAGGAGAGGAGAGUGGAAUUCCUAGCGUAGCGGUGAAAUGCGUAGAUAUUAGGAGGAACACCAGUUGCGAAGGCGGCUCUCUGGACUGUAACUGACGCUGAGGCACGAAAGCGUGGGGAGCAAACAGGAUUAGAUACCCUGGUAGUCCACGCUGUAAACGAUGAGUACUAGGUGUCGGGGGUUACCCCCUUCG